GCCUUCGUAGUGUAGUGGACAGCUCGCUUGAUUUGUAUUCAAGAAGUCCGUGGUUCGAGUCCCAGCGAGGGCA